rnacentral:rRNA from 1 species
UAACAAAAAAUUUUUGGAAUAGUACUAUUAAUGAAAUUUAACGGAUUUGGCGGCAAGAUAGCCACUUAGAGGAACCUGCCCUGUAAACGAUGAACCACGAUUAACCUUACUUUUAUUAGAAUCCAGUUUGUAUACCGCUGUUGUCAGUUAGUUUCUUUAGAAAACUUUCGUACAUGAAAAGUUCAAGGACUUCAAGUAAAGGUGCAGCUUAUAUAAAAGAUAGAGGUGGGUUACAAUUAAAAGAAUAAUAUGGAUAAAGUAGAGAAGAAACUUUUGAAGGUGGAUUUAAUAGUAAAGUUUAAAAAGACUUGAUUAGAGCUCUAUCUUGUGUACACACCGCCCGUCGCUCCGGAAAAAA